UGUUUUGGAAGAGAAGCAUUUAUUAGAUAAAAAGCCAAUAUAUGUUUUUAAAGCAUAAAAGUUGGUGAUUUACAAUAACUAAGCAAAUCGCACAGUGCAAACUGGCGAUAAAUCAUUCAAGUUUCUGACCUAUCAGCUUUCGACGGUAUGGUAUUGGCUUACCGUGGCAGUGACGGUUAACGGGGGAUUAGGGUUCGAUUCCGGAGAGGGAGCCUGAGAAACGGCUACCACAUCUAAGGAAGGCAGCAGGCGCGCAAAUUACCCAAUUCUAACAGCAUAAGAGAGGUAGUGACAAGAAAUAACAGUACAAGGCAGUUAAAAUGCUUUGUAAUUGGAAUGAUAGAAAUUUAAAUACUUUUUAAAGUAUCAAUUGGAGGGCAAGUCUGGUGCCAGCAGCCGCGGUAAUUCCAGCUCCAAUAGCGUAUAUUAAAAUUGUUGCAGUUAAAAAGCUCGUAGUUGAAUUUUUGCUAAAAAUAACCGGUCUGCUUUUAUUAAUAAAAGUGGUAUCUUGGUGUGUUUUUAGCAAUAAUGUCCUUUGAAAUGUUUUUUACUUUAUUGUAAAAAACAAAUUUCAGGAUUUUUACUUUGAGAAAAUUAGAGUGUUUCAAGCAGGCUAACGUUUUGAAUA
rnacentral:rRNA from 3 species